AUUGAACGCUGGCGGCAGGCCUAACACAUGCAAGUCGAACGGUAGCACAGAGAGCUUGCUCUCGGGUGACGAGUGGCGGACGGGUGAGUAAUGUCUGGGAAACUGCCCGAUGGAGGGGGAUAACUACCUGGAAACGGUAGGCUAAUACCGCAUAACGUCGCAAGACCAAAGAGGGGGACCUUCGGGCCUCUUGCCAUCGGAUGUUGCCCAGAUGGGAUUAGCUUGUAGG
rnacentral:rRNA from 1 species